UACGGGGGGGGCAAGCGUUGUUCGGAAUUACUGGGCGUAAAGGGCUCGUAGGCGGCCAACUAAGUCCGACGUGAAAUCCCCAGGCUUAACCUGGGAACUGCGUCGGAUACUGGAUGGCUUGAAUCCGGGAGAGGGAUGCGGAAUUCCAGGUGUAGCGGUGAAAUGCGUAGAUAUCUGGAGGAACACCGGUGGCGAAGGCGGCAUCCUGGACCGGAAUUGACGCUGAGGAGCGAAAGCCAGGGGAGCAAAACGGG
rnacentral:rRNA from 1 species